UUUUUUUUGAACAAUUAAAACAAAACUUCCUUCCUCGAAAGGAAUUAAAUUAAUCCCGCCCGAUAAAGACGAAUCGUUCAGAUUUAUUUGUGUCGUUAAAUGCGCGAAAUGGAGGACGUUUAGAGCGCGAUUCUCGAUGAUUUGAAACGAUCAUAAAUCAGCGAGGACGAGUAUCUCGCGCAAAUUGAGAACCCAUGGCAACGGGUCCGGCUGGGCCGCUUCGCACAGGGGUUGAAACGAAGGUGAAGGGGGUUUUUCAGGGGUGCUCGCAGGGUGGUUAGUGGCAUUCAUCGCGAUGCAGAUGGCUUCCACCCCUCACGCCGCCUCGACGGAGAGAGGAACACGAGGAAACAAGAGGGAGACAGGGGUUGGAUGCUGCGCGUAUACGCACUUUUUCCCGCGUCUCUCUACCUUCUCUUCUCCUCUUUCCUACCUUUUUCACCCUCUUUCAUCCACUCUCCACAAUCCUUCGCUCUCUUCUUGUUUCUACUUUAUCCUCUUUACCCCUUUUUCAUUCUCCUCUUUCUUCUCAAUUCUCCUCUCGUUUUUUCCUUGGCCUUGCAAUUUCGCGUAAUAUGCGCUUACAUUCGGCCCUUCGGCCCCUCUAUAUCAUUUCCUCUCUUUCUCGCUAUUGUCAUCCACGGAAGAAUUCAUUUUUUCGCAAAAAAAAAAAAAAGAAGAAAGAAAGAAAACAAAGGGAUCAAAGAAGGAAAAAGCAAAAUUGAUUAGAUGAUUCUUGCCAUUUCUAAAUGGUAAAUUAUCACGGAUUCGUUAUUUGAGAGAUCGAUCUAAUUCUGCAAGAAAGUAUCGUAGAACGGUAAAGAAAAAUUCAGGCGAUUCUUCUCAAUGGCACUUGAUCCAGUGUAAAAAUUGCGGAGAAGUUUGCGCGUCACGCUUAGGGGAUUUCGGCUUAUCAACAGGUAAACGAGUACAACCCCCUCCGCGCCUCUAUUUUCGCUCGAUGGAAAGUCGAACAAUGAUCACGGCGUUCGUCUUACACGCACGAUUUCUCCUAAGUCACAACACCACCCGAUCUCGAACAAACGAGACGCCUCGGAUUUAAUCCUCGUUUACUUGCAAGGACUCGAUCUCCUACCCUCCGCAACGAAGCAUCGUCUUCUCGUGAGUAUAUAUGUAUAUAUAUAUAUACAUCCUCCAUACCAGAUAGAGCUCCCCUGUAUUUACCUGUCACCUCGAUGACGAUUCUGACAAGGGUAUCUACCCUUCGACGUAUAUACCCUUCGUCCUUGACGCGAUUCGAGCCCAAGAGUCGUGCGCCAUCGAGGUCCCUGGAUCGUCCUCGUCCUCCGUGAAUCGUGCCAAACUCGUCCAAAAGAGCGGCCGCACGUUGCGCGCAUUGUGCUCGCAAGAGCAGCAAUUUAUUGUGUAUUUGAAAUUAUGCAGUCGAGUGGCUGCCGUCUGCCUCCGAGAUGGCUACUUUGCACGUCGAUUCCUUUCCUUUCUCUCUUCCUCUUUCUCUUCCCUCCCAUCCCCCCCUUCUUGUGUACAUAAAAUAUAAUAUAGUAGCAAGAUUUAGACGUUAUCGGUUAGCCGGUAGUCGACAAUCAACGAUUAAACCGAGGAGAAUUUAAAUGUGAAGGGAAAAUGGAGUGGGGGGAAUACGAAGGAGGAUAUUGACGAAAGCAUCAAUCUCGAGAUAUAUUAGAGUGAGCGGGACAGCCCCGCUCCGCGUAAAUCGGUGUGGAACGAUCAGCGGCGCGGCUGCGAAAAAAGGAGCAAAUCGAGAGAGAGGCAGAGCUAGAGCUGAGAUCCCCGAUUGUCAUGAAAAUUCUCUGGUUGGAGAACGUGUGUGACGCGCCAAUGACGUGCUCGAAACGGGGGCACGGGUUUAGAAAAAUGGAGGGGAUACGAGAAAUUGGCAUAAAUGAGAUUGAUACGACUUUAAGUUACUCGACUUGAAUCGAUCGUGAGCAAGAUGAGAAUAGAGAGAGAGAGAGAGAGAGAGAGAGAAAGAGGGGAAAAAAAUAAGAGAGAAAGUGGUGGAUCCUUGGGCCACCUCUUUCGAGCUACUCGUCACGCCACUUUGCGCGCCCUGAACAGACAGGAGCAAAGAGCAGAGGAGAGAGUUCGGCAAGGUACGCCCAUGCCGUUGACCGACGCGAUGCUCACCUUCCAUUAUGACAACGCCAUGGAACGUGUUUUGCGGAUAAUGACGAUGGAACGAGAACUCCUGGUGGUGGCUGCUCCUCGCCGGAUCUGCAAUUUCAACUGGGGAUGGCUGUAAGUGUUUACCAAGAGCCUUAGGGCGAAUUUUUUAGUCGUUACGUAUAAAUUUUUUUUUUCGCGCUUCUUUUAAAUAUUGUAAAUUGUAAUUAUAAUUGUAAUUAUUUGUAACGCGAAAUAUUUAACACAUUGCGGACCGAUAGUUUUAUCAGCUUUAUUUUCGAGUAUGUUUCGAUAAAUACUUUUACUGGCAAACAAAAUUGAAAACUCGAGAAUUCUCGUGAUCUGUCUGCAAUGUGUUAAACAUUUCGUGAAACUUUUAACUGAUAUAAUUUGGCGAGAAAAUCGUACAACGAUCUAUCUCGGCUCGUUGUAAAGGGUAAAGCUUCUACUUUUACAUUCCUCGAUUAAAUUUUUAUCGAGGAAUGAAAAAUUGAUAAAUUUUAUAAGUUUUAUAAUAAUAUAUAGUUUAAACAAUUAUUUUUGCAAUUUCUUUUCAUUCGAUAAAUUUGUAAAAGGAAGCUUCCCCUUUACAAUGAUCCCUGAAAUAUUUAUAAGUUUGAUUUUUUAUCGCCAUUUUAUCGCACAUUUGAAUUAAAUGUGUGCAAUCAGUAAUAUGUAUGCAUUUAUUCGUUGUAUUAUAUUUUUUUAGUAAAUACUUGUAUGUUUAAUGUGUGCUUAAUAUUUAUAAUGCAUAUUUA
rnacentral:lncRNA from 1 species